rnacentral:rRNA from 1 species
AAAUUAUUCGCCAGAGUACUACCGGCAACAGCCCGAAACUCAAAGGACUUGGCGGUGCUUUAUACCCUUCUAGAGGAGCCUGUUCUAUAAUCGAUAAACCCCGAUAAACCUCACCAAUCCUUGCUAAUACAGUCUAUAUACCGCCAUCUUCAGCAAACCCUAAAAAGGAACAAAAGUAAGCUCAAUCACAACACAUAAAGACGUUAGGUCAAGGUGUAACCCAUGGAAUGGGAAGAAAUGGGCUACAUUUUCUACCUUAAGAAAAUUAAUACGAAAGCCAUUAUGAAAUUAAUGACCAAAGGAGGAUUUAGUAGUAA